CGUAGGGGGCAAGCGUUGUCCGGAAUCAUUGGGCGUAAAGCGCGCGUAGGCGGUUACUCAAGUCGGAUGUGAAAGCCCUCGGCUUAACUGAGGAAGUGCACCCGAAACUGAGUAGCUAGAGUACUAAAGAGGGUCGCGGAAUUCCCGGUGUAGAGGUGAAAUUCGUAGAUAUCGGGAGGAACACCUGUGGCGAAGGCGGCAUCCUGGACCGACAUUGACGCUGAUGAGCGAAAGCUAGGGGAGCAAACGGG
rnacentral:rRNA from 1 species